ensembl:miRNA Mir3970 microRNA 3970
CUAGGAAUUUAAGGUUGUAGUUUGUGCUUUCUAUCUUGUAGAGAUUUCAAUACUCAGUAUGAAGCAGAAACCAGCAUCACCCUUUUGUUU